CUGCUAUUACAUUUCAGUGUCUUUAGAUGUGUCAAUGGCCUCUGCCUGUGCAGUCACACAAAUGCUGCAUUAGAUCCUCAAAAAAGGGUGAUGGAUGAGAAACAAAACAUAGCUAUUCAAAUUUUUAACUUCUGUACCUUGGCAAAUUAAAACCUCCUCUUACCUUGUGAUAAGCUUCUUCUAGAGUGUGUAGCUUUGUGUACGGG
rnacentral:misc_RNA from 1 species